UGCAAGUCGAACGGUGAAGCCCCGCUUGCGGGGUGGAUCAGUGGCGAACGGGUGAGUAACACGUGAGCAAUCUGCCCCUGACUCUGGGAUAAGCGCUGGAAACGGCGUCUAAUACUGGAUAUGAGCUGCGAUCGCAUGGUCAGUAGCUGGAAAGAUUUUUUGGUCAGGGAUGAGCUCGCGGCCUAUCAGCUUGUUGGUGAGGUAAUGGCUCACCAAGGCGUCGACGGGUAGCCGGCCUGAGAGGGUGACCGGCCACACUGGGACUGAGACACGGCCCAGACUCCUACGGGAGGCAGCAGUGGGGAAUAUUGCACAAUGGGCGGAAGCCUGAUGCAGCAACGCCGCGUGAGGGAUGACGGCCUUCGGGUUGUAAACCUCUUUUAGCAGGGAAGAAGCGGAAGUGACGGUACCUGCAGAAAAAGCGCCGGCUAACUACGUGCCAGCAGCCGCGGUAAUACGUAGGGCGCAAGCGUUAUCCGGAAUUAUUGGGCGUAAAGAGCUCGUAGGCGGUUUGUCGCGUCUGCUGUGAAAUCCCGAGGCUCAACUUCGGGUCUGCAGUGGGUACGGGCAGACUAGAGUGCGGUAGGGGAGAUUGGAAUUCCUGGUGUAGCGGUGGAAUGCGCAGAUAUCAGGAGGAACACCGAUGGCGAAGGCAGAUCUCUGGGCCGUAACUGACGCUGAGGAGCGAAAGGGUGGGGAGCACACAGGCUUAGAUACCCUGGUAGUCCACCCCGUAAACGUUGGGAACUAGUUGUGGGGUCCAUUCCACGGAUUCCGUGACGCAGCUAACGC
rnacentral:rRNA from 1 species